AUAUACAGUCUAUGGGAGGGAGCGAGUGAGGAAAAGAUGGAAGAGAGAGUAGAUGACAAUGUGGUAAGGAGUAGGCAC